rnacentral:tRNA from 1 species
GGAGACGUGGCUGAGUGGCCGAAAGCAGCCGCCUGCUAAGCGGUUGGGGGCGUAACAGUCCCCCGGAGGUUCGAAUCCUCCCGUCUCCG